rnacentral:rRNA from 1 species
CCUACGGGAGGCGGCAGUGGGGAAUAGUGGGCAAUGGGCGCAAGCCUGACCCAGCAACGCCGCGGGAAGGAAGAAGGCUUUCGGGUUGUAAACUUCUUGUGUCAGGGAAGAGGAGAAGACGGUACCUGACGAAUAAGCCACGGCUAACUACGCGCCAGCAGCCGCGGUAAUACGUAGGUGGCAAGCGUUGUCCGGAUUUACUGGGUGUAAAGGGCGUGUAGCCGGGUUGACAAGUCAGAUGUGAAAUCCUGCGGCUUAACCGCAGAACUGCAUUUGAAACUGUGGAUCUUGAGUACUGGAGAGGCAGGCGGAAUUCCUGGUGUAGCGGUGAAAUGCGUAGAUAUUAGGAGGAACACCAGUGGCGAAGGCGGUCUGCUGGACAGCAACUGACGGUGAGGCGCGAAAGCGUGGGGAGCAAACAGGAUUAGAUACCCCGGUAGUC